GACGAACGCUGGCGGCGUGCUUAACACAUGCAAGUCGAACGGAAAGGCCCUGCUUUUGUGGGGUGCUCGAGUGGCGAACGGGUGAGUAACACGUGAGUAACCUGCCCUUGACUUUGGGAUAACUUCAGGAAACUGGGGCUAAUACCGGAUAGGAGCUCCUGCUGCAUGGUGGGGGUUGGAAAGUUUCGGCGGUUGGGGAUGGACUCGCGGCUUAUCAGUUUGUUGGUGGGGUAGUGGCUUACCAAGGCUUUGACGGGUAGCCGGCCUGAGAGGGUGACCAGCCACAUUGGGACUGAGAUACGGCCCAGACUCCUACGGGAGGCAGCAGUGGGGAAUAUUGCACAAUGGGCGGAAGCCUGAUGCAGCAACGCCGCGUGCGGGAUGACGGCCUUCGGGUUGUAAACCGCUUUCGCCUGUGACGAAGCGUGAGUGACGGUAAUGGGUAAAGAAGCACCGGCUAACUACGUG
rnacentral:rRNA from 1 species